rnacentral:rRNA from 1 species
UACGUAGGGAGCGAGCGUUGUCCGGAAUUACUGGGUGUAAAGGGAGCGUAGGUGGCAUGGCAAGCCAGAAGUGAAAACCCGGGGCUUAACCCCGCGGAUUGCUUUUGGAACUGUCAGGCUGGAGUGCAGGAGGGGCAGGCGGAAUUCCUGGUGUAGCGGUGAAAUGCGUAGAUAUCAGGAGGAACACCGGUGGCGAAGGCGGCCUGCUGGACUGUAACUGACACUGAGGCUCGAAAAGCGUGGGGAGCAAACAGG